rnacentral:rRNA from 1 species
ACGCACGCUGGCGGCGUGCUUAACACAUGCAAGUCGAACGGAAAGGCCCUGCUUGCAGGGUCCUCGAGUGGCGAACGGGUGAGUAACACGUGGGUGAUCUGCCCUGCACUUCGGGAUAAGCCUGGGAAACUGGGUCUAAUACCGGAUAGGAGCCAUUUUUAGUGUGAUGGUUGGAAAGUUUUUUCGGUGUAGGAUGAGCUCGCGGCCUAUCAGCUUGUUGGUGGGGUAAUGGCCUACCAAGGCGGCGACGGGUAGCCGGCCUGAGGGGGUGGACGGCCACAUUGGGACUGAGAUACGGCCCAGACUCCUACGGGAGGCAGCAGUGGGGAAUAUUGCACAAUGGGCGCAAGCCUGAUGCAGCGACGCCGCGUGGGGGAUGACGGCCUUCGGGUUGUAAACUCCUUUCGCUAGGGACGAAGCUUUUUGUGACGGUACCUAGAUAAGAAGCACCGGCUAACUACGUG